rnacentral:lncRNA from 1 species
CGGCCUACGCCUCGCUCCACCGCUACAAGGAGGCGCUCGCCGACGCCGAGCGGACCGUCGCGCUCAAGCCCGACUGGGCCAAGGGCUACUCCCGCCUCGGCGCCGCGCGCCUCGGGUCGGGGGACGCCGCGGGCGCCGUCGAGGCCUACGAGAAGGGGCUCGCCCUCGACCCCUCCAACGCGGCCCUCAAGGACGGGCUCGCCCAGGCCCGGUCGGCCCUCCCGCGCCGCCCGGCCUCCGGCGCCGACGCCAUUGGCAAGAUUUUCCAGGGCCCGGACCUCUGGAGCAAGAUCGCCGCCGACCCCACCACGCGCGCCUACCUCGACCAGCCCGACUUCAUGCAGAUGCUGCGCGAUCUGCAGCGGAACCCCGGCAACCUCAACAACUACCUCUCGGACCCCCGCAUGAUGCAGGUGCUCAGCCUCAUGCUGAAUGUGAAGGUCCAGAACCAGAGCAAUGGCCCCUCCGAGCCGGC